rnacentral:rRNA from 1 species
UUGAAAGGGAAACGAUUGAAGUCAGUCGUACCAGCGGGAAAUCAACCUUUCGGGUGGGAUUUUGGAGUUUUGAAGAGUGUUAAAACCUUUGAGAUUUCAAAAUUUUCGCUCCUUUGGUGUACUUUCUCGUGGGUAGGUUAACAUCGAUUUCGAUCAUCAUAAAAGGAUUGGAGGAAUGUAGCUUCGAUCUUGUAUUGAAGUGUUAUAGCCUUCGGUAGAUGUGGUGAUCGAGAUUGAGGAUUGCAACGGAUACCUUUCGGGGCUACCUGUCUGAUCUCUGAUCGUUGCUUUGGUGCUGAAAGCGUGCUUAUAGUUAUCAAAGUCGAUGGUCAAUAGGUUAGAAUGGGUUAAAUUCGUUAAGGAUGUUGACGUA